AUUACUACCUGCAUCUGCGUAUAUAUUUUGUUAGAAACAGCAGGGGAACCUUAGGUUUGCUCAUUUCUUUAACUACAUGAGCAAGUGACAGUUUGGGCUUUAGAGUUUAGGCUUAGAUAGGGAUCCAAUUCUUAUCAGUAACCCUGAGGAGAAAAAGUCACUUAUUCUUCCCUAAACCUAGUUGUUUUUGUUUUUAAUUUUCCAAAAGAAUGAGAUAAUGGUUCUUUUUAUAAUGUUGUUUUUAUGGUAGCGUGAAGAUGAAGUAUAUGAACUAUAUUGGUGCCAGACAGAUAAAUGCCUUAACAGGAUGUGUCACCAGCACAAGCAACAGGAAACUAGAUUGACAGAGACUUCAGCCACAAGGAUGUUCAUCAUGUAGCAAACAAGUUCUGGAGAUAGGUGGUUCCAGAGUUCAGUGGCAGCCAAAACGUCAUCAGGAUUUUCCUGGAACCAUUUGCUCUGCCGUCCUCAGUGUUACAGAAUGGUUACUUCAACUCUCAACAUUAUUUCUUAAAAUGACAGUGUCCAAAACUGUGUAGGUCCAUUUUUUUGGUUGCUGUCACCAGGGACCAUUCUUCUACCACUUGAACUCUUGGAGGAAACCACAUCCAAACCAAAAAGCAAAGCAGUAAGCAAUGGGCAGCAGUCAGGGAUCUUUGCCAUCGCUCUGCUCAUAGAGGGUAGUUUUAGAAGCCCCAUAGAUUUGCCCAAGUCUUCAUAGGGCUGAGCUAUAUAUCUGCCCUGGGACCAGGCACUGGCAAAGGAAAAAGAGUAGACCAGUUUAUUUCCUUCUAUACUGUGGCCUGUGAGAUGGGAUUUUGUUAGAAGGGAAAAACAAACUGUCAGUUAGGUAGCUAAUCUAUAAUAGUUGCCACCAUGUUUUAAAAAGUAUUGUAGAUAGAUUGGGAGGCUGAGCCAGGAGGAUCACAAGUUCGAACCUCAGCAACUUAGCAAGACUCAAUAUUAAAAAAAAAAAAAAAUUGUAGCACAGCAUUGUGGCAUACACUUGUAACCCCAGCUACCUGGGAAGCUGAGGCAGAAGGAUCACAAGUUUAAGACUAGCCUCAGCAUCUUAGACCCUGUCACAAAAUAAAAAAGGCUGGGAAUCUAGUUCAAUGGUAAAACACCCCUGGGCUUUAUCAUUCCCAGUACCACAAAUAAAAUAAUAAAAAUAAAUAUUAAAAAAAUAGUGUAGUAAAAUCAAAAGAUUAUAUCUAGGUAGAAUUUUUAAUAUUCAGUCACUUUUUAUUCUGCUAAAUAAAC
rnacentral:lncRNA from 1 species